CCGGAGCUAACGCGUUAAGUAGACCGCCUGGGGAGUACGGCCGCAAGGUUAAAACUCAAAUGAAUUGACGGGGGCCCGCACAAGCGGUGGAGCAUGUGGUUUAAUUCGAUGCAACGCGAAGAACCUUACCUGGUCUUGACAUCCACAGAAGUUUGCAGAGAUGCGAAUGUGCCUUCGGGAACUGUGAGACAGGUGCUGCAUGGCUGUCGUCAGCUCGUGUUGUGAAAUGUUGGGUUAAGUCCCGCAACGAGCGCAACCCUUAUCCUUUGUUGCCAGCGGUUAGGCCGGGAACUCAAAGGAGACUGCCAGUGAUAAACUGGAGGAAGGUGGGGAUGACGUCAAGUCAUCAUGGCCCUUACGACCAGGGCUACACACGUGCUACAAUGGCGCAUACAAAGAGAAGCGACCUCGCGAGAGCAAGCGGACCUCAUAAAGUGCGUCGUAGUCCGGAUUGGAGUCUGCAACUCGACUCCAUGAAGUCGGAAUCGCUAGUAAUCGUGGAUCAGAAUGCCACGGUGAAUACGUUCCCGGGCCUUGUACACACCGCCCGUCACACCAUGGGAGUGGGUUGCAAAAGAAGUAGGUAGCUUAACCUUCGGGAGGGCGCUUACCACUUUGUGAUUCAUGACUGGGGUGAAGUCGUAACAAGGUAACCGUAGGGGAACCUGCGGUUGGAUC
rnacentral:rRNA from 1 species